AGAUUCCUUGAGUGUUUCUUCUUCAAAUCACAUAUAUACUUAUAAAUUUCACAGAUUUUGUUUUAAGUCUUUUUCUGUUUUAAAAUUAUUUAGGAUGGUUUCAGCGGAAACUGGAUACUAAGAAUAUUUGACCGAGUUGUUGGUUACUGGCCUAAAGAGUUAUUUACUCACUUAAACAAAGGAGCUUCUUUGGUACGCUUUGGAGGAAAUACAUUUCCAUCUCCGGACGGAUUUAGUCCCCCAAUGGGAAAUGGAUAUUUUCCGUCUCACGAUUUUUAUAAAAGUUCACAUUU
rnacentral:sRNA from 1 species